rnacentral:rRNA from 1 species
UACGUAGGGGGCAAGCGUUGUCCGGAAUUACUGGGCGUAAAGCGCACGUAGGCGGCUUUGUAAGUUAGAGGUGAAAGCCCGGGGCUCAACUCCGGAACUGCCUUUAAGGCUGCAUCGCUUGAAUCCAGGAGAGGUGAGUGGAAUUCCGAGUGUAGAGGUGAAAUUCGUAGAUAUUCGGAAGAACACCAGUGGCGAAGGCGGCUCACUGGACUGGUAUUGACGCUGAGGUGCGAAAGCGUGGGGAGCAAACAGG